GAUGAACGCUGGCGGCGUGCCUAAUACAUGCAAGUCGAGCGAACGGACGAGAAGCUUGCUUCUCUGAUGUUAGCGGCGGACGGGUGAGUAACACGUGGAUAACCUACCUAUAAGCCUGGGAUAACUUCGGGAAACCGGAGCUAAUACCGGAUAAUAUUUUGAACCGCAUGGUUCAAAAGUGAACGACGGUCUUGCUGUCACUUAUAGAUGGAUCCGCGCUGCAUUAGCUAGUUGGUAAGGUAACGGCUUACCAAGGCAACGAUGCAUAGCCGACCUGAGAGGGUGAUCGGCCACACUGGAACUGAGACACGGUCCAGACUCCUACGGGAGGCAGCAGUAGGGAAUCUUCCGCAAUGGGCGAAAGCCUGACGGAGCAACGCCGCGUGAGUGAUGAAGGUCUUCGGAUCGUAAAACUCUGUUAUUAGGGAAGAACAUAUGUGUAAGUAACUGUGCACAUCUUGACGGUACCUAAUCAGAAAGCCACGGCUAACUACGUG
rnacentral:rRNA from 1 species